rnacentral:rRNA from 1 species
GAUGAACGCUGGCGGCGUGCCUAAUACAUGCAAGUCGAGCGAACGGACGAGAAGCUUGCUUCUCUGAUGUUAGCGGCGGACGGGUGAGUAACACGUGGAUAACCUACCUAUAAGACUGGGAUAACUUCGGGAAACCGGAGCUAAUACCGGAUGAUAUUUUGAACCGCAUGGUUCAAAAGUGAAAGACGGUCUUGCUGUCACUUAUAGAUGGAUCCGCGCUGCAUUAGCUAGUUGGUAAGGUAACGGCUUACCAAGGCAACGAUGCAUAGCCGACCUGAGAGGGUGAUCGGCCACACUGGAACCGAGACAAGGUCCAGACUCCUAAGGGAGGCAGGAGUAGGGAAUCUUCCGCAAAGGGCGAAAGCCUGACGGAGCAACGCCGCGUGAGUGAUGAAGGUCUUCGGAUCGUAAAACUCUGUUAUUAGGGAAGAACAUAUGUGUAAGUAACUGUGCACAUCUUGACGGUACCUAAUCAGAAAGCCACGGCUAACUACGUG